GACGAACGCUGGCGGCGUGCCUAACACAUACAAGUCGAGCGGAGAUGAUGUGAGGAAGUUUUCGGAUGGAAUCACAUUAUUUUAGCGGCGGACGGGUGAGUAACGCGUGAGCGACCAACCUUGCACAGGGGGAUAACGGACCGAAAGGUUCACUAAUACCGCAUGAGACCACGGUGUUGCAUGACACAGGGGUCAAAGGAGGAAUCCGGUGCAAGACGGGCUCGCGUCCGAUUAGGUAGUUGGAGGGGUAACGGCCCACCAAGCCUAUGAUCGGUAGCCGACCUGAGAGGGUGAUCGGCCACAUUGGAACUGAGAUACGGUCCAAACUCCUACGGGAGGCAGCAGUGGGGAAUAUUGGGCAAUGGGGGAAACCCUGACCCAGCAACGCCGCGUGAAGGAAGAAGGUUUUCGGAUUGUAAACUUCUGUCCUUGGUGAAGAGAAGAAGACGGUAGCCAAGGAGGAAGCCCCGGCUAACUACGUGCCAGCAGCCGCAGUAAGAC
rnacentral:rRNA from 1 species